UUAAAUCCAAGUUAAGUCCAAAUAAAACAGAGCUAGUGUAUUCCUUCAUCUGAAUCAAAAUCAUUCAAAUUCCUCUGGGGUACUUCGUUUCAAAUGUGCUUAGCUACCGCCUAGUCUAGUCCUAAAUCAUGAAUGACCAUGUCACUAGGAACAGUCUAAAAGCACACAGUCAACUAUCAUUGAUUCAUGUUCACCAUUUCCUUGAAAACGUAUUUUGUUUUGAAAACCGAUUUUGAAAAACUUUAAGGAAAAUGCAAAAAGUGUAGAUAAUGCAAGACUCAUGAAAG
rnacentral:lncRNA from 1 species